rnacentral:lncRNA from 1 species
UUUAUAUAUAUACACACACUCUAUAUAUAGAGAGUCAAGCAUACGGAAAGUCAGGGCAGUGACUGACAGCAGCUGACAAUUGUCCAGAAAUGCUCAGAUGCAUCUAUUUAAUUCUGACUGUAAUAAUUCCUACCCUAUUUUAAAAUAGCCUUCUAUAAUCCUUAAGCUUCUAAGAUUUAUUUUUUAAAAAAUAGAUUUUUAACUAAAAGGAAAGCAUCCAAAAUAAUCUGAUUCAGAUCACUGUGUAGGGUAAACUCCAGCGAUCGUUAUCCAAAUUGUGGCAACUGACAAAAAUUUCAGAUUUGCUGUAUUAUCAAACAUGAAUUGUAUCUGCCUCUCCCACACUAAAAUAUCAACCAUAAAAACCUUUGCUUAAUGAAUGCUUUGUUUUACUUGUCUUAUUUACUCUGAGGUUCUCGCGGCAAGACCCAAAUGGACAGUGAUUUGGCUGCCAGCUGGUGUUAAAAACAAGCCAACUCCAAGAAAGUUAUGGAUUACCUCUAAGUGAGAAAAAGGAAGCAUUAGAACAACAAAGAAAAGAACAAAAGACUCAAGUUCUCCAGCCCCCAAAAUUAUUCCAUCUUUAUGAAGGCAACACUGAUCUCCACGAGCACAAUCAUCCAAACGGAGAUGGGAACCCCUGUUCUAACUCUCUCAGAGGCCUGAAGUUAGUUUUCUAGCACUCUCUCUCACACAAGGGAAAUGCGCUUACGGCCAGUUCAAAAUCUGCAGUAACCUGUGUCUGUUUAUUAGGGACCUCUUGGGCGCAGGUAAGACAAUAUUCUUUCCCUGCAGCUUGAAAGAAGUGAAAUCAACGGAUAACCACUACCGGAACAGAGUUCAGACUGCAACUCAUGAGAUCUCUCAGUCCUUUCCUUCAGUGAAUUCUUCCGAGCCCUUUUCAGGUGCAGCUUUGAAGGUUAAAACGAGACACUAGGACCAGUGGGUCCCUAAGAGGCGGCAGCACAGACACAGGUGUGCUUCCCUGCUCCGUGGUUUUACGGACGAAAUUCUGAAGCAUCCUUAGAGACCAAGGGUCUACCCAUGGGGUUCACCAGGCCUUCUUUCCCGAGGAUCGGCCCUUGACUCAAAGAACUGGGGCGGGGGAGAAGUCGCUUUCUAGAAGCCGCCCGACCACACCGCCACCAUAUUCUCCUCUUUCCCUCCGCGGCUCCCCGCACGUUCCCGGGGAGAAGAGCUUCCAGUCUCUUCCGUGGACACCCAAAGACGCCGAGCCUCGGCUCCCAACCGGGAGCGGCCUCCGUGGCCGGGCCGCAGGC